AGUGAACGCUGGCGGUAGGCCUAACACAUGCAAGUCGAACGGCAGCACAGGAGAGCUUGCUCUCUGGGUGGCGAGUGGCGGACGGGUGAGGAAUACAUCGGAAUCUACUUUUUCGUGGGGGAUAACGUAGGGAAACUUACGCUAAUACCGCAUACGACCUACGGGUGAAAGCAGGGGACCUUCGGGCCUUGCGCGAUUGAAUGAGCCGAUGUCGGAUCAGCUAGUUGGCGGGGUAAAGGCCCACCAAGGCGACGAUCCGUAGCUGGUCUGAGAGGAUGAUCAGCCACACUGGAACUGAGACACGGUACAGACUCCUACGGGGGGCUGCAGUGGGGAAUAUUGGACAAUGGGCGCAAGCCUGAUCCAGCCAUACCGCGUGGGUGAAGAAGGCCUUCGGGUUGUAAAGCCCUUUUGUUGGGAAAGAAAUCCAGCUGGCUAAUACCCGGUUGGGAUGACGGUACCCAAAGAAUAAGCACCGGCUAACUUCGUGCCAGCCGCCGCCGUAA
rnacentral:rRNA from 1 species